UGGUGGGUAGUUUGACUGGGGCGGUCUCCUCCUAAAGAGUAACGGAGGAGCACGAAGGUUGGCUAAUCCUGGUCGGACAUCAGGAGGUUAGUGCAAUGGCAUAAGCCAGCUUGACUGCGAGCGUGACGGCGCGAGCAGGUGCGAAAGCAGGUCAUAGUGAUCCGGUGGUUCUGAAUGGAAGGGCCAUCGCUCAACGGAUAAAAGGUACUCCGGGGAUAACAGGCUGAUACCGCCCAAGAGUUCAUAUCGACGGCGGUGUUUGGCACCUCGAUGUCGGCUCAUCACAUCCUGGGGCUGAAGUAGGUCCCAAGGGUAUGGCUGUUCGCCAUUUAAAGUGGUACGCGAGCUGGGUUUAGAACGUCGUGAGACAGUUCGGUCCCUAUCUGCCGUGGGCGCUGGAGAACUGAGGGGGGCUGCUCCUAGUACGAGAGGACCGGAGUGGACGCAUCACUGGUGUUCGGGUUGUCAUGCCAAUGGCACUGCCCGGUAGCUAAAUGCGGAAGAGAUAAGUGCUGAAAGCAUCUAAGCACGAAACUUGCCCCGAGAUGAGUUCUCCCUGAGACUUUAAGUCUCCUGAAGGAACGUUGAAGACGACGACGUUGAUAGGCCGGGUGUGUAAGCGCAGCGAUGCGUUGAGCUAACCGGUACUAAUGAACCGUGAGGCUUAACCUUACAACGCCGAAG
rnacentral:rRNA from 9 species